rnacentral:sRNA from 1 species
AUUGGUGGUGGUGUGUGCCUGUAGUCCCUGCUACUCAGGAGACUGAAACAGGGUGGUAACUUGAGUCCAGAAGUUCAAGAUCAGCCUGGGCAACACAGUGAGACCCUGUCUCAA